rnacentral:lncRNA from 1 species
AAAAAUUUAAGAGGGAAGCUGUGAGCGGCCUGCGGGAAGGGAGGAAGUUGACCUUGACCUAAUGUUUUAUUUUAUUUUAUUAAAUAAUAUAUAUAUAUGUUAUAUUAAUUUGAGUUGAGUUGGGUUAAAUUGAAUUUUUCAACCCUCUAAUUCGAGAUCCAACCCAACCAGAAAAAAAUCAAUUUUUUUAACCCAACCCUUAUAAUAUGGAUUGGGUAGUCCAGGUUAU